rnacentral:rRNA from 1 species
ACGAACGCUGGCGGCGUGCUUAACCCAUGCAAGUCGAACGCUGAAGCUCAGCUUUUGUUGGGAGGAUGAGUGGCGAACGGGUGAGUAACACGUGAGUAACCUGCCCCCUUCUUUGGGAUAACGCCCGGAAACGGGUGCUAAUACUGGAUAUUCACUGGUCUUCGCAAGGGGGUUGGUGGAAAGGGGUUUUCUGGUGGGGGAUGGGCUCGCGGCCUAUGAGCUUGUUGGGGGGGUGAUGGCCUACCAAGGCUUUGACGGGUAGCCGGUCUGAGAGGGUGACCGGUCACAUUGGGACUGAGAUACGGCCCAGACUCCUACGGGGGGCAGCAGUGGGGAAUAUUGCACAAUGGGCGCAAGCCUGAUGCAGCGGCGCCGCGUGAGGGAUGGAGGCCUUCGGGUUGUGAACCUCUUUCGCUCAUGGUCAAGCCGCAACAAUGGUUGUGGUGAGGGUAGUGGGUAAAGAAGCGCCGGCUAACUACGUG